ensembl:snoRNA SNORA72 Small nucleolar RNA SNORA72
UUGUAAAUGUUCUUGUUCUUCUGAUUUUGAAAUAAUCAGGACAUGUUAACCAAUCACUACAUUAGCACCAAGCAUGGGUUCCCUGACCUAGUUCUUUCCCUAGUCUAGUUUUAUAAAUGCUAGUAAUAAAC